GAAGACAAGGGAGGCUGCUGAACACUCUAAUGCCUGUAUGAGUGAACUUGGACAUGAACAGUGUAGCUGGAUCUGUUUGCCUUCAGUUCAAGCUGCAAUGUUGUCACCAUCUCCUCUUUAAGCCCAUGUAUCCUUGACAAGGUUGUUCUGCCCUUCAAGCUCAUAUGAUGGUUGUGCAUGUAGGAGACCUAGCCUUCUGUCACCAAGGAAACAGAAAGCAGAGGAGGAAUGUGACCGUGGGAGGCUGCAGGCAAAAGUGAUGUGGGGCCACAACUGUACCUGGAAGCUACAUGCCUUGCUUCCCAGUCCUGAGACUUGAAGAGCACAGAGGAAGGCCUCUUGUAGGUCAGUCACUGGCUCUGGACCAUUGACCACUACCACUGCUUUUACUUGGGAUGGUGUUCAAAUUGUGGGAUGUCUGAGAAAGCUGGGUUCCACGUUUUUGCUAUGCAACCUGUUCCUCACGUCCUGGACUUUGCCGGCUCCAGUCCUCAGUUGCCAUUCAGUAAGCAUUGUGACGUGUAAGGCUCUCAGGAGAAGCCAGAUCCCAGUGGCAUUAGUGUGACAAACAAGCUGUGCCCAAGGAGCUGACACUCUGGCAGAGUCCAGGACAUCCAGGAAGACAGAGGUGGUGAGAUAUCACCAACUAUGACUCUGACAUCCAAUGAAGCAGUCGAGGGCCAUGAUGCUUUUCUGACUGAGGCAACACAGCCUGGAGCCCAAAUCCCGAGGCUGUGCACCAAAGUCCUUCCGUUUGUCACUGAUCCUGGUGCUUUCCCACAAGAAGUUGCUCAAUGUGGCUACCAGGGAGGCCAAACAUAAGCCUGUGUCUGCAGACAGGAGGGCACCAACAAUGUGUCAAGCAACCUCAUCUGCAUCGUCACAAGCAUCUGCAGUGUGGAUAUCUGGUCAACAUGGUCGUUUGACAGUUGUGGAGCUCCUCCCACCAAUAAAGGUUAGCAACUUGUCGGGCUUUCAUGGCAUUUAUGGCAGCUAGAUUGUGCUUCUUUGAGUAAGUCCAAAUCAGUGCUACUAGGUAUGUAUGAUGCUUAUACACCUUACCCUAAUUUAAACAGAUGGUGUGGGCACUGAGAACAUGUAGCCCUGCAAAGCAUUUUAAAUUAUUCACAUAUUUCUCAUUUACCUAUUCACUCUCCCCUACAUCCUGUCUGUAGUCUGUCUCUUCUCUCUCUUCUCUGUUUUUAUAUCUUUUGUU
ensembl:lncRNA